rnacentral:rRNA from 1 species
AUGGAUCUUCCGCCGCUCUCCCACCAGGCGCUCUUCGCGGCCGUCCGAUCCGCGGACGCCGACGCCGUGCGCCGCCUCCUGGCCGGCGCCGAGGCGUCCGGCUCCACCGCGCCGCUCGCCGCCGCGCAGACGGACGCCGGGGAGUCCGCGCUCUACGUCGCGGCGGAGGCCGGCGCGCUCGAGGUCGUGCGCCUCCUCCUCCCGCUCUACGACCUCGAGGCCGCCAAGCUCCGCUCCCGCCUCGACCUCGACGCCUUCCACGUCGCCGCCAAGCAAGGGCACACUGAGGUCGUGAAGGAGUUUUUGGGGCGGUGGCCUGAGCUUUGCUCAGUGUGUGACUCGUCCAACACUUGCCCACUGUACUCUGCUGCCGUAAAAGACCACUUGGAUGUGGUGAAUGCUAUAUUGGACACUGACGAUAGCUGCGUAAAGAUUGUGCGAAAAAAUGGGAAGACAUCACUACAUAAUGCUGCAAGGAUAGGGUACCAUCGCAUUGUCAAAGCACUCAUUGAGAGAGACCCGGGAAUUGUUGCAAUCAAAGAUAGGAAGGGACAAACUGCCCUUCACAUGGCCGUGAAGGGUAAAAACACAGAUGUGGUGGAAGAAUUGCUGAUGGCUGAUGUUUCCAUCCUCAAUGUGCGUGACAAGAAGGCAAACACAGCCUUACAUAUAGCUACACGAAAAUGGAGGCCCCAGAUGGUUCAACUUCUGCUCGCCUAUGAUUCACUUGAAGUAAAUGCCAUCAAUAGUCAAAACGAAACAGCUAUGGACUUGGCUGAGAAAGUUCCCUAUGCUGAGUCUAAAACGGAAAUCAUCGAGUGGCUGUCAGAGGCUGGUGCAAAGAAUGCCGUAAAUGUUGGUAAAGUUGACGAAGCGUCAGAGCUAAGGAGAACUGUGAGUGAUAUCAAGCACAACGUGCAAGCACAGCUCAGUGAGAAUAUGAAGACCAACAAAAGAGUGACGGGGAUCGCCAAAGAGCUGCGGAAGCUGCACAGAGAAGCGGUUCAGAACACCAUCAACUCGGUUACUCUGGUGGCAACCCUGAUCGCCUCCAUCGCGUUCGUUUCGAUCUUCAACCUGCCAGGCCAGUACUACCAGGACACUGAACACGGGGGAGAGAUCGGCGAGGCCUACAUAUCCAAGCUCACCGGGUUCCGUGUGUUCUGCCUCCUGAACGCCAUCGCCCUCUUCAUUUCGCUCGCGGUGGUCGUGGUGCAGAUCACGCUGGUCGCCUGGGAGACCGGCGCGCAGAAGCAGAUCAUCAAGAUCGUGAACAAGCUGAUGUGGACGGCGUGCCUCAGCACGUGCGCGGCGUUCGUGUCGCUGGCCUACGUCGUGGUCGGCCCGCAGCACGCGUGGAUGGCCUUCACCAUAUCGGCCGUCGGAGGGCCGAUCAUGAUCGGGACCCUCCUGUUCCUCGCCUACCUGCUGCUGCGCCCGCGGUUCACGUUCGGCGAGGACAGGCAGCGGCGCAUCAGGAGGGGGAGCGGCAGCAAGUCCUUCUCCUGGUCUGUCCGUGAAGGGUUGUCGGACCUGGAGGCCGUGGAAGACCAUGAGAAGAAGAUCUAUGCUUUGUAG